GACGAACGCUGGCGGCGUGCCUAAUACAUGCAAGUGGAACGCAAUUGAUUCUCCCGUAGCUUGCUACAUUUGAAUUGAUUGAGUCGCGAACGGGUGAGUAACGCGUAGGUAACCUACCUUAUAGCGGGGGAUAACUAUUGGAAACGAUAGCUAAUACCGCAUAAGAUUUGGCAACACAUGUUGUUAAAUUAAAAGGAGCAACAGCUUCACUAUGAGAUGGACCUGCGUUGUAUUAGCUAGUUGGUAAGGUAACGGCUUACCAAGGCAUCGAUACAUAGCCGACCUGAGAGGGUGAUCGGCCACACUGGGACUGAGACACGGCCCAGACUCCUACGGGAGGCAGCAGUAGGGAAUCUUCGGCAAUGGGGGGAACCCUGACCGAGCAACGCCGCGUGAGUGAAGAAGGUUUUCGGAUCGUAAAGCUCUGUUAUAAGCGAAGAACGGGAGUAAGAGUGGAAAGUUUACUCUGUGACGGUAGCUUAUCAGAAAGGGACGGCUAACUACGUGCCAGCAGCCGCGGUAAUACGUAGGUCCCGAGCGUUGUCCGGAUUUAUUGGGCGUAAAGCGAGCGCAGGUGGUUUAAUAAGUCUGAAGUUAAAGGCAUUGGCUCAACCA
rnacentral:rRNA from 1 species